GACGAACGCUGGCGGCGUGCUUAACACAUGCAAGUCGAACGGAAAGGCCCUGCUUUUGUGGGUUGCUCGAGUGGCGAACGGGUGAGUAACACGUGAGUAACCUGCCCUUGACUUUGGGAUAACUUCAGGAAACUGGGGCUAAUACCGGAUAGGAGCUCCUGCUGCAUGGUGGGGGUUGGAAAGUUUCGGCGGUUGGGGAUGGACUCGCGGCUUAUCAGCUUGUUGGUGGGGUAGUGGCUUACCAAGGCUUUGACGGGUAGCCGGCCUGAGAGGGUGACCGGCGACAUGGGGACUGAGAUACGGCCCAGACUCCUACGGGAGGCAGCAGUGGGGAAUAUUGCACAAUGGGCGGAAGCCUGAUGCAGCAACGCCGCGUGCGGGAUGACGGCCUUCGGGUUGUAAACCGCUUUCGCCUGUGACGAAGCGUGAGUGACGGUAAUGGGUAAAGAAGCACCGGCUAACUACGUG
rnacentral:rRNA from 1 species